rnacentral:rRNA from 1 species
AUUGAACGCUGGCGGAAGGCCUAACACAUGCAAGUCGAACGCGUGGCGGACGGGUGAGUAAUGUCUGGGAAACUGCCUGAUGGAGGGGGAUAACUACUGGAAACGGUAGCUAAUACCGCAUACCAUCGGAUGUGCCCAAAUGGGAUGAGCUAGUAGGUGGGGUAAAGGCUCCCCUAGGCGACGAUCCCUAGCUGGUCUGAGAGGAUGACCAGCCACACUGAAACUGAGACACGGGCCAGACUCCUACGGGAGGCAGCAGUGGGGAAUAUUGCACAAGGGGCGAAAGCCUGAUCCAGCCAUGCCGCGUGUGUGAAGAAGGUCUUCGGAUUGUAAAGCACUUUAAGUUGGGAGGAGGUACCAACAGAAUAAGCAACGGCUAACUUCGUGCCAGCAGCCGCGGUAAUAC